AGUCUGUCGAAUGGUCGCGCCUGAGGAUACCGAAAGGUUUCAGGUGAGGAAAGUCCGAGCUUCACAGGGCAGGAUGCCGGAUAACGUCCGGUGGAGGCGACUCCAAGGAAAGUGCAACAGAAAUAAACCGCCGGUUUCAGCCGGUAAGGGUGGAAAGGCGGGGUAAGAGCCCACCGCUUCUCUGGUAACAGGGAAGGCCAUGUAAACCCCAUCCGAAGCAAGACCGCAUAUAAGACGAUACGGCGGCCCGUCGUGUCUUAGGGUAGGUUGCUGGAGCCUUCUGGUGACAGAAGGUCGAGAUAGAUGACCAUUUUCAACAUAACUCGGCUUACAGGCAGACUCGU
rnacentral:RNase_P_RNA from 1 species